UACGUAGGUGGCAAGCGUUGUCCGGAUUUAUUGGGUUUAAAGGGUGCGUAGGCGGUUCUAUAAGUCAGUGGUGAAAUCCGGCAGCUCAACUGUCAUGUGCCAUUGAUACUGCAGAACUUGAGUACAGACGAGGUAGGCGGGAUUGACGGUGUAGCGGUGAAAUGCUUAGAUAUCGUCAAGAACACCGAUAGCGAAGGCAGCUUACUAGACUGUAACUGACGCUGAUGCAC
rnacentral:rRNA from 1 species